AUUCGAGUUGAGACUGUUGGACAUGAGACCAGAAACUUGUCCGAUAGACUUUUUAUAAAUUUCCCAGUAAACAGUACUGAAAUAAUGACUGGAAACUACAGCCUCUUAUGUCAGUUCUAUAAUCAAACAGUGAACAAGUGGGAUGUCAUGGGGUCUUUCACCAACCUGGAGAACUUUAACAGCAGCAACACUGUAAACUGUUCAUAUAAUCACAUGAC